rnacentral:rRNA from 1 species
CCAUUCAGCAAAGUGCCAUUUAUUAUUCUUGAAAAGCUGAGCAAGGACCAGGUUGGUUAGUACUUGAAUGGGAGACCAUCAGAAAAUUCCAGGGCUGUAAAGU